rnacentral:rRNA from 1 species
AGGAUGAACGCUGGCGGCGUGCUUAACACAUGCAAGUCGAACGAUGAAGCCGGAGCUUGCUCUGGUGGAUUAGUGGCGAACGGGUGAGUAACACGUGAGUAACCUGCCCUUGACUCUGGGAUAAGCACUGGAAACGGUGUCUAAUACCGGAUACGAGCUUUAGCCGCAUGGCUAGGAGCUGGAAAGAAUUUCGGUCAAGGGAUGGACUCGCGGCCUAUCAGGUAGUUGGUGAGGUAACGGCCCACCAAGCCUACGACGGGUAGCCGGCCUGAGAGGGUGACCGGCCACACUGGGACUGAGACACGGCCCAGACUCCUACGGGAGGCAGCAGUGGGAAUAUUGCACAAUGGGCGCAAGCCUGAUGCAGCAACGCCGACGUGAGGGACGACGGCCUUCGGUUGUAACCUACUUUAGUAGGUAAGGAAGACGAAAGGUAGACGUACCGUGACGAAGAAAAAGACACCGGACUAACUAACGUGACCACGCAGACCGACGGUAA